rnacentral:sRNA from 1 species
GUUGGGCGUGGUGGCGCGCGCCUGUAAUCCCAGCUACUCGGGAGGCUGAGGCAGGAGAAUUGCUUGAACCCGGGAGGCGGAGGUUGCAGUGAGCCGAGGUUGCACCACUGCAUUCUAGCCUGGGCAACACAGCGCAACUCCGUCUCAAAAAAAAACAUUUCUUUCAUGGAGACUUUUUUUUUUCUUUUUUUGAGACAAAGUUUUGCUCUUGUUACCCAGGCUGGAGUGCAAUGGCACGACCUUGGAUCUCGGCUCACUGCAAUCUCCGCCUCCCAGGUUCAAGCGAUUCUCCUGCCUCA